AUGAACGCUUGCGGCGUGCCUAAUUCAUGCAAGUCGAGCGAACAGACGAGGAGCUUUCUCCUCUUACGGUAGCGGCGGACGGGUUAGGAACACGUUGGUAACCUACCUAUAAGACUGGGGUAACUUCGGGAAACCGGAGCCAAUACCGGAUAAUAUAUUUAACCGCCUUGUUCAAUAGUUAAAGACGGUUUUGCUUUUACUUUUAGAUUGUACCGGCGCGCAUUAGGCAGUUGGUAAGGUAACGGCUUAACCAGGCAAAGAUGCCUACCCGGCCUGAGAGGGUGAUCGGACACACUGGAAAUGAGAAAAGGUCCAGACUCCUAAGGGAAGCAGCAGUAGGGAAACCUCCGGAAUGGGCGAAAGCCUGAAGGAGCCACGCCGCGGGAGUGAUGGAGGUCUUCGGAUCGGUAAACUCUGUUAUUAGGGAAGAACAAAUGUGUAAGGAACUAUGCACGUCUCGACGGUACCUUAUCAGAAAGGCAAGGCUAAAUACGUG
rnacentral:rRNA from 1 species